rnacentral:rRNA from 1 species
UACGUAGGUGGCGAGCGUUGUCCGGAUUUACUGGGCGUAAAGAGCGCGCAGGCGGUCGUAUAAGUCGCGUGUGAAAGCCCCCGGCUCAACUGGGGAGGGUCACGCGAUACUGUUCGACUCGAAGGCAGGAGAGGGAAGUGGAAUUCCCGGUGUAGUGGUGAAAUGCGUAGAUAUCGGGAGGAACACCAGUGGCGAAGGCGACUUCCUGGCCUGUUCUUGACGCUGAGGCGCGAAAGCUAGGGUAGCGAACAGG